rnacentral:tRNA from 1 species
GGGUGGGUGGCUCAGUGGUUAGAGCUUAGGUCUUGUGAACGAAAGGUCCCGGGAUCGAAUCUCGCAAGAGACA